GUUUCCUAGUAACGUGGGUAACGCUUCCCGAUUGGCUCAGACUGUCUGGCGCCGGCUGUUGACGUCAUCUUCCUGAAACCCACAUUCAGUGCGGCUGGACGCGGCGGGAACGGCGGCGCCGAACAGGUUCUUAGAAAACCAGGUCGAGGAGGAUGACAAAUUCAGGAAUGUGAUCUUCCCCUGGGUCCUUGGCUAGACAGGAGAGAAGAAGAAGGAGCAUCUACACAGCAGAAGAAACAUCUAUCUGAGGAGAAUGGGAUUCAGAGCCGUGGUGCAUCGGCCCACCUGUGAUCUGGCUAGUAAUAAUUAGGGAUAAGAGACUUGUUUUGGACCUGGCAGUUAAAAAAGAAGUUAAACUAUACAGAUUCACUGUUUCACUUUAAGGGUCUAAAUUUAUGCUAGCACCUGAAAUUAUUUAUGUAGUGUUUGGGUCUACUAUAUGGAAACCUAUAUGGUUGCAGGGAAGCCUUUUAGAUCUUUAUAAAGUCUCUCCCCUUCACAGCUCAGGUAUAAGUGUGAAUUAACUUUUUUUUUUUAUUCUGGAAAAUCAAUUUAAACAGCAUAUAACAUUU